rnacentral:other from 2 species
UAAUUCCUGAAAUGUUCGACAAUCCUGCAAUUUUGAACCUACAUUUUCUUUUAUGGGAUUCCUAUAUUGCCCGUUCUGAUGUCAGGCCGUCAUUACGCAGCGGAAGGCAGAUGACGGGUUGCGGUCGCCCACCUAGCUGUGGCUAGGAGUCAAAAUAGCAGGAAACGGCAUUUUGGGGUAACA